rnacentral:rRNA from 1 species
AUUGAACGCUGGCGGCAGGCCUAACACAUGCAAGUCGAGCGAGCGGCGGACGGGUGAGUAAUGUAUGGGGACUGCCCGAUAGCGGGGGAUACCUACUGGAAACGGUGGCUAAUACCGCAUACUAUCGGAUAACCCAUAUGGGAUUAGCUAGUUGGUGAGGUAAAGGCUCACCAAGCCGACGAUAUCUAGCUGGUCUGCGAGGAUGACCAGCCACACGUGGACUGAGACACGGCCCAGACUCCUACGGAGGCAGCAGUGGGGAAUAUUGCGCAAGGGGGGCAACCCUGACGCAGCCAUGCCGCGUGAAUGAAGAAGGCCUUCGGGUGGUAAAGUUCUUUCAGUCGGGAGGCGUUGCCGACAGAAGAAGCACCGGCUAACGCCGUGCCAGCAGCCGCGGUAAUUC